CUCUCCCUCUGUCGGCAGGCCUAACACAUGCAAGUCGAACGAACUCUUCGGAGUUAGUGGCGGACGGGUGAGUAACACGUGGGAACGUGCCUUUUGGUUCGGAAUAACUCAGGGAAACUUGUGCUAAUACCGAAUGUGCCCUUCGGGGGAAAGAUUUAUCGCCAUUAGAGCGGCCCGCGUCUGAUUAGCUAGUUGGUGAGGUAACGGCUCACCAAGGCGACGAUCAGUAGCUGGUCUGAGAGGAUGACCAGCCACACUGGGACUGAGACACGGCCCAGACUCCUACGGGAGGCAGCAGUGGGGAAUCUUGCGCAAUGGGCGAAAGCCUGACGCAGCCAUGCCGCGUGAAUGAUGAAGGUCUUAGGAUUGUAAAAUUCUUUCACCGGGGACGAUAAUGACGGUACCCGGAGAAGAAGCCCCGGCUAACUUCGUG
rnacentral:rRNA from 1 species